GAUUUCGCCGCCAUCUUGACUCUCUUCCCAGCUCCGGAGAAUCCGGCUGGCCCGAGUGAGGCGGUCCAAAGUGAUCCCUGGAGGGGGCAGUGCCAGACGUUUUGGGGUCCCCUUCCUCAGCGUCGCAGCUCACAGCUUUCCUCCUGGAGAAACGCCCCCUAACACCCUCCCGGCUGCUGGUGGAGGGGCGGGACCUCUGAGGGAAGGGGCGGAGCUAGUGCAAAGCAGGUGAUUACGUGUCACUUCCGGGAGAUGGGAUGACCUCAUUGUGUAGUUAGACAACACCCCCCCCCAAUCAAAAUGUCUAUGUCUCACCUCUUUGGCUGUUUCUAUUUUCUUUUAAAUUUCUCUUAUUCUUCUCUUAUUUUGAGGGUCUUUAAAAAUUACAUAAGUCAGAUUUUCACAAUCAAGUUACUGAUUCUCACUUCCAUUUAGACACCUCUCCUCUUACCUCUGUUGACCUCCUGAUUUUCCUGUCACUGACAACUUAACCACCUUUUGUAAUAAAGUUUCCAUCAUUACCUUAAAAAAGCUUCAGGCAAAAUUCAAUUGGAAAUCAGCCUGGUUGGGUCUUACAUGUUGGAGCAAGGAAUGAAUGGGCAUAUUGUGACCUUGAAUAUAUUUUCUGCCCUAUGGAAAUAUAUUCUACCAACUUUUUUUUUAAUAUGCAAUUUUUAAAUUCUGUGAUCUUAAUUUGGAAAAUGCAGAACUAGCCAGGGCUUAACCUGUAUCAAUUAUUUGUUCAGGUUAUUUAAAUGUGUAAGGAGUGCCUUUUAGAAUUUUUUUGGUGCUAAGGCGCUGUGGGUAAACAUUGCUUUAAAUAAGGAAAAAAAUGUUAUCAAUGUGCUAUAUCAUUAAAGUAGGUGCAGGAUACACUACUUAAACUUAGCUAACAAAUUACAAAAGUGAAACAGCACUGAAUGGAUUUGAAUUACAAUGAUCUUCCAGUGAAAGUAUUUUUGAAGCCAGAUAGCCAAAAUAGGGCAAGCUACAUGGUUACAGUUGUUCCUGAUCAGAUGAAAUGAACAUUUUACAGUUAAAAAAAAGAAUGAGGGGGAAAAAAAUCCCUGAAUUUUCUCAUUGACUUCCCUAGAUUUUUGAACUCAUUUUUGUGAUUCUGUCUACUUCUCCAUUCACUAAAGUCUUCUAAUAAUGCCAAUAACUGUCUUUAGAAUGUUAAGAGUACAAAUUAGGUAAUAUUUAUAUGGCUGGAGGUUCUAUGGCAGAAAGGUGCGUUUGACAACUUCAAUAGUUACUUUGAUACUAUUGAAUACUAUGGCACCUAUGAGUUUUGGGAGUGGCAGGGUAGAUGGGGAUACUACAUUUUAGGACACAGCUUUUCAUGAGUAUAUAUGCCAGUGUGAAAUCUCUGAAGACUUUAGAAAAAUUACUAAUAGUGAAUUUUUACUCCCAUACAUUGGGAAGAGGGGAGUGAUUCCAAAAUCAACUUUUAGAAACCAGCCAUAUAACUGUAUCCAUGUAUUUCAUGCUAUGAUUUAAGCCUCAUACUCCCUAUGGUAUGUAAAACUCAUACUCAUAUGUAAGCCUCAUACUCCCUAUGGUAGUAAAACUUAAGGCCAGCAGGUAAAGAUUAUUUCUGCAUAUAGAUGGGAUUCUGUUUCUUUGCUGAAUUUGAAUGAAUAACACCUUACAUGGCAUAAAUAUAGAGUAGGAUUGCCCAGGUAUGAACCCCAAUUUCACUAAAAUAGUAACAUGAAUAAUGUGAGCAAGAUUACCUCUUCAAAUCUCAGUUUUCACCUUGAUAUAAUAGAAAUAACAACAGUGACUUUUCUGAAAAGUUGCUGGGCAGAGUAAAGGUGGUAAUCCUUUCAAGGAUCUCAAUAUGAUACCUGAUAGGCAGCUAAGCACUAGAGAGUAACUGCUAUUAUUAUUACUGUUGUUAUUAUUAUGUUUGCAUAAUACUGACAUGUUUCUACUUAAAUUCUAUCGCUGAGUGUAUUUGGUAUCUCUAAUAAAAGAAAGCAUUUUGAAAUACUUCUAGAAAAUAGGUGCAAUUAAUUUGUGCUUUCAAAUAUAUUUUCUCUAUUUAAGCUACGAGGCUGUGAAAUGAGAUACAAAAGCGGGCAGUAAUGGUGUAUUUAUGAUUCCUAUUUCUGUGUGCCCUGAAAGAACAUAAACUAGUGAAAUUAGCUAAGUAAAUUACACUCGCUAUAUAAGGCUGACAAAUGAGCUUAUGA
rnacentral:lncRNA from 10 species